rnacentral:rRNA from 1 species
UACGUAGGGUGCGAGCGUUGUCCGGAUUUAUUGGGCGUAAAGGGCUCGUAGGCGGCGUGUCGCGUCGGGAGUGAAAGCCCGUUGCUUAACGGCGGGUUGGCUUUCGGUACGGGCAUGCUCGAGUGCGGCAGGGGAGACUGGAAUUCCUGGUGUAGCGGUGGAAUGCGCAGAUAUCAGGAGGAACACCGGUGGCGAAGGCGGGUCUCUGGGCCGAUAUUGACGCUGAGGAGCGAAAGCGUGGGGAGCGAACAGG